GCCAGUGUGGUGUAAUGGUUAGAGUGGUGGACUGUGAUUCUGGAGAUGAGGGUUCAAUUCUCCACUCAGCCA